GCCAGGCGUGCUGGCUCACGCCUGUAAUCCCAGCACUUUGGGAGGCCAAGGCAGGUGGAUCACCUGAGGUCAGGAGUUCGAGACCACCCUGUGCAACAUGGUGAAACCCGGUCUCUACUAAAAAUACAAAAAUUAGUUGGGUGUGGUGGUGGGCACCUGUAAUCCCAGCUACUCGGGAGGCUGGGGCAGGAGCAUUGCUAGAACCCCGAAAGCGGAGGUUGCAGUGAGCCGACAUUGCGCCACUGUAAUCCUGCCUGGGCAACAGAGCAAGACUCCGUCUCA
rnacentral:sRNA from 1 species